rnacentral:rRNA from 1 species
CCUACGGGGGGCAGCAGUGAGGAAUAUUGGUCAAUGGGCGGGAGUCUGAACCAGCCAAGUCGCGUGAGGGAAGACGGUCCUAUGGAUUGUAAACCUCUUUUAUAAAGGAAUAAAGUGAGGCACGUGUGCCUUUUUGUAUGUACUUUAUGAAUAAGGAUAGGCUAACUCCGUGCCAGCAGCCGCGGUAAUACGGAGGAUCCGAGCGUUAUCCGGAUUUAUUGGGUUUAAAGGGAGCGUAGAUGGGUUGUUAAGUCAGUUGUGAAAGUUUGCGGCUCAACCGUAAAAUUGCAAUUGAUACUGGCAGUCUUGAGUACAGUUGAGGUAGGCGGAAUUCGUGGUGUAGCGGUGAAAUGCUUAGAUCUCACGAAGAACUCCGAUUGCGACGGCAGCUUACUAAACUGCCACUGACAUUGAUGCUCGAAAGUGUGGGUAUCAAACAGGAUUAGAUACCCUUGUAGUC